rnacentral:lncRNA from 1 species
AUGGAUCUUUUAAUGGGCUUUUCCAUGAACUUACUGAAGUACUUCUGUGUCACAGAGAACGCUAGCCACCUUCCCCACCCCCUGUGCAGCACAGUGAAUAAAACUGAGCCCAGACAGGGGCCUUGCCCAAAGUCAACAUCCACAGCUUCCGCCCAGAGCUGCCGUGAGGGGCCCAGGGCUGCGUGGUGGGGACAGGGAGGCUGUGCACACUGGGCAGUGAGUGCCGGCCCCUCCCUUGGGAGUGGUCUGGAGGCCAUCCUGCCCUGGCUGUACAACCCACAACUUAUGUCUGGCCUCGGAGGAGUCCCUGCACCUCCCCCCACCCCAGCCACCAGCAGAUCGGGGCACUCAUUCCUGCCCUGGCUGACCCGACUAGGCGCCCAGAGCCAGGCAGGAAGGCCAGGGCGGGGGGACGGGCCGUGUGCACGGAGAGCCGCCCCAGGCCCGUCUGUCCCGCAGGCGGCAGGAGCGGCAGCGCUUCACGGAGUACCAAGCCGAGCUGCAAGGCAUCCAGCAUCGGGUGCAGGCCCGGCCCUACCUGUUCCAGCAAGCCAUGCAGGCCAACGCCCGGCUCACGGUGAGCCGGCGCUUCUCCCAGGUGCUGUCGGCACUGGGCCUGGAUGAGGAUCAGCUGCUGGCUGAGGCUGGCAAGGGCGGCGAUGCGGAGGGCGCCUCCCGGAAACCCAGGUGAGGCCGCGGGGCCGGGGCAGCCACGCUGAGGCCCAAGGGGCAGGGCCUCGCCCAGGGACACGGGAGCAAACAGGAGGCCAAGGCAGGCUGGGCGGGGGCCGCGUGGGUCACCCCACGUACACGGUUCAGGGCAGGGACCGUGGGCCACUUCACAAGCCAGCGGGGACUUGAGGAGGGGCGGUCGUCCACCCAGGGCCGCACGGGAAGCCAGGACGGCUGCCGGGCUGGGACCCACGUGGGAGUGGGAGCUGUGCUCAGCGGCCGCUGUCUGUCUUUAAGGAGCCACAGGUCCACGGAGACGAGCAGGCAGAGCCCAAGGAUGGAGCCCCCCAGAGGCCAGCCUGACAGGCACCCGACCCCCAGCGUGGACCUGGCGAGCGGUCCCCGAGAUAAAAAUUAAAGGUUUUGUGGCAAACUCAGCGUGGGGGUCUGUGGUGGUGGUGGGGAAGCCGCCAGUGGGGAGGAUUGGCUCUGUCCCCACAGCCCUGGCCCUGCUCCCCAGUGGGCGUCUCGAAGAACAAUGGCCGUUUCUCUCUAUUCCAUCUCCCCCAUAUGUCCUGGGGCCAGUUCACGAGUGACCAGGGCACAACGGACGCGGCCUUGAAGGCUACUUCCCUGAGCAGCUCACAGCAGAGGUUCAAAAACAAGGCCCAGCACCGGCACCCCGGGUUCUAGUCCCGGUCGGGGCGCCGGAUUCUGUCCCGGUUGCUCCUCUUCCAGGCCAGCUCUCUGCUGUGGCCAGGGAGUGCAGUGGAGGAUGGCCCAAGUGCUUGGGCCCUGCACCCCAUGGGAGACCAGGAGAAGCACCUGGCUCCUGGCUUUGGAUCGGCACAGCGCUGGCCGUAGUGGCCAUUUGGGGGGUGAACCAAAGGAAGGAAGACCUUUCUCUCUGUCUCUCUCUCUCACUGUCUAACUCUGCCUGUCCAAAAAAAAUAAAAAAUAAAAAAUAAAAAAAAAUCCA